ensembl:lncRNA CYP1B1-AS1 CYP1B1 antisense RNA 1
CAGUUAAAUAUGGAUUUCAGAUCAACAAGGGCUAAUCUUUUAGUAGGAGAAAAGACCUGGCCCACGCCUCCCAGAGGCUUUACCUGGUGAAGAGGAGGAGCAGCCACUGCAGCGCGGUAACAGAUGAGGAUGAAAUUUGGGCUUGACUGAAGUAAUGGGGGCUGUCUGUGAAGCCUUGCGGCAGUACAGCCCAGUCUAUCUUUGUUGAGUUUUGGUAUUGAUUUUAUGUGUCAGUACCUGAGAAGGAGAGAAGUCCUUGAGUUGUUUCGUAAAUGUGGCUCAAGUGAGAUGCUGAACAGUGCCAGCCAUGUGGACUCUGCCACAGUGAAGGAGGAAGGCAGCACUGAGAAGUGAAGGAAUAUUUGGGAGGAUCAGAAGCUUGGUCCUGAUUUUGCCAUCAACAGGAACUUGAUGACUUCAAGGGAGUCCCCAAACCCUGGGUUUCUGUUUUCUCAACUCUAACAUGAGGGGCUAGAUGCAUCUGGUUUAGUUAGUCUCCAUGAUGGUUUAGUUCGUCUCCAUGAUCCUGUGAAUUUCAGAUGUUGAAAAUCUUCGGAAAAGCCCUGAAAGAUGAACAGUGGUCUCAAAUAGUCAAGACCCCCUGCUGGGAGGAGCUUCUAUCCUGCUCUGUGGAA